CCUACGGGAGGCAGCAGUAGGGAAUUUUGCGCAAUGGGGGAAACCCUGACGCAGCAACGCCGCGUGAUCGAUGACGCCCUUCGGGGUGUAAAGAUCUGUAAGUGGGGACGAAACCUGACGGUACCCACCGAGAAAGCACCGGCUAACUCCGUGCCAGCAGCCGCGGUAAUAAGGGUGGUGCAAGCGUUGUCCGGAAUCAUUGGGCGUAAAGUGUUCGUAGGUGGCACGUUGAGUCUGGUGUUAAAGGCGUGAGCUCAACGUCCGUAGGGCACUGGAUACUGGCGAGCUUGAAUGCGGUAGAGGUAAAGGGAAUGCCUGGUGUAGCGGUGAAAUGCGUAGAUAUCAGGAGGAACAUCGGUGGCGUAAGCGCUUUACUGGGCCGUAAUUGACACUGAGGAACGAAAGCCGGGGUAGCAAAUGGGAUUAGAUACCCCGGUAGUC
rnacentral:rRNA from 1 species